rnacentral:rRNA from 1 species
UUGGAGGGCAAGUCUGGUGCCAGCAGCCGCGGUAAUUCCAGCUCCAAUAGCGUAUAUUAAAGUUGUUGCAGUUAAAAAGCUCGUAGUUGAAUUUCGGGAUUAGCAGGUCGGUCGUGCCACUGGUACGUACUGGUCUUGCUGAUUCCUCCCUCUUGACAAGCCGUAAUGCCAUUAAUUUGGUGUUGCGGGGAAUCAGGACUGUUACUUUGAAAAAAUUAGAGUGUUUAAAGCAAGCAUGCGCUUGAAUACAUUAGCAUGGAAUAAUGAAAUAGGACGUUCGAUCUUAUUUUGUUGGUUUCUAGGAUUGACGUAAUGAUUAAUAGGGAUAGUUGGGGGCAUUAGUAUUCAAUUGUCAGAGGUGAAAUUCUUGGAUUUAUUGAAGACUAACUACUGCGAAAGCAUUUGCCAAGGAUGUUUUCAUUAAUCAAGAACGAAGGUUAGGGGAUCGAAGACGAUCAGAUACCGUCGUAGUCUUAACCAUAAACUAUGCCGACUAGGGAUCGGAUGAUGUUAAUUUUUUAAUGACUCAUUCGGCGCCUUACGGGAAAC